AGCGUACACGGUGGAUGCCCUGGCAGUCAGAGGCGAUGAAGGACGUGCUAAUCUGCGAUAAGCGCCGGUAAGGUGAUAUGAACCGUUAUAACCGGCGAUUUCCGAAUGGGGAAACCCAGUGUGAUUCGUCACACUAUCAUUAACUGAAUCCAUAGGUUAAUGAGGCGAACCGGGGGAACUGAAACAUCUAAGUACCCCGAGGAAAAGAAAUCAACCGAGAUUCCCCCAGUAGCGGCGAGCGAACGGGGAGGAGCCCAGAGCCUGAAUCAGCAUGUGUGUUAGUGGAAGCGUCUGGAAAGGCGCGCGAUACAGGGUGACAGCCCCGUACACAAAAGCGCAUGUGCUGUGAGCUCGAUGAGUAGGGCGGGACACGUGGUAUCCUGUCUGAAUAUGGGGGGACCAUCCUCCAAGGCUAAAUACUCCUGACUGACCGAUAGUGAACCAGUACCGUGAGGGAAAGGCGAAAAGAACCCCGGCGAGGGGAGUGAAAAAGAACCUGAAACCGUGUACGUACAAGCAGUGGGAGCACAGGUUUACCUGUGUGACUGCGUACCUUUUGUAUAAUGGGUCAGCGACUUAUAUUCUGUAGCAAGGUUAACCGUAUAGGGGAGCCGGAGGGAAACCGAGUCUUAACCGGGCGUUAAGUUGCAGGGUAUAGACCCGAAACCCGGUGAUCUAGCCAUGGGCAGGUUGAAGGUUGGGUAACACUAACUGGAGGACCGAACCGACUAAUGUUGAAAAAUUAGCGGAUGACCUGUGGCUGGGGGUGAAAGGCCAAUCAAACCGGGAGAUAGCUGGUUCUCCCCGAAAGCUAUUUAGGUAGCGCCUCGUGAAUUCAUCUCCGGGGGUAGAGCACUGUUUCGGCUAGGGGGCCAUCCCGGCUUACCAACCCGAUGCAAACUGCGAAUACCGGAGAAUGUUAUCACGGGAGACACACGGCGGGUGCUAACGUCCGUCGUGAAGAGGGAAACAACCCAGACCGCCAGCUAAGGUCCCAAAGUCAUGGUUAAGUGGGAAACGAUGUGGGAAGGCCCAGACAGCCAGGAUGUUGGCUUAGAAGCAGCCAUCAUUUAAAGAAAGCGUAAUAGCUCACUGGUCGAGUCGGCCUGCGCGGAAGAUGUAACGGGGCUAAACCAUGCACCGAAGCUGCGGCAGCGAACGUAUCACCCAAGACAACUUUACGGAGUUGACGAUUGACGGAGCGAAGCGACGUCAAAGCGUUCAUUAAAGUCGAGUUGGCUUAGGGAUACGUUCGUUGGGUAGGGGAGCGUUCUGUAAGCCUGUGAAGGUGUGUCGUGAGGCAUGCUGGAGGUAUCAGAAGUGCGAAUGCUGACAUAAGUAACGAUAAAGCGGGUGAAAAGCCCGCUCGCCGGAAGACCAAGGGUUCCUGUCCAACGUUAAUCGGGGCAGGGUGAGUCGACCCCUAAGGCGAGGCCGAAAGGCGUAGUCGAUGGGAAACGGGUUAAUAUUCCCGUACUUGGUGUUACUGCGAAGGGGGGACGGAGAAGGCUAUGUUGGCCGGGCGACGGUUGUCCCGGUUUAAGCGUGUAGGUGUGUGUUCCAGGUAAAUCCGGUUCACUUUAACACUGAGGCGUGACGACGAGGCACUACGGUGCUGAAGCAACAAAUGCCCUGCUUCCAGGAAAAGCCUCUAAGCAUCAGGUAACACGAAAUCGUACCCCAAACCGACACAGGUGGUCAGGUAGAGAAUACCAAGGCGCUUGAGAGAACUCGGGUGAAGGAACUAGGCAAAAUGGUGCCGUAACUUCGGGAGAAGGCACGCUGACACGUAGGUGAAGUGAUUUACUCAUGGAGCUGAAGUCAGUCGAAGAUACCAGCUGGCUGCAACUGUUUAUUAAAAACACAGCACUGUGCAAACACGAAAGUGGACGUAUACGGUGUGACGCCUGCCCGGUGCCGGAAGGUUAAUUGAUGGGGUCAGCGUAAGCGAAGCUCCUGAUCGAAGCCCCGGUAAACGGCGGCCGUAACUAUAACGGUCCUAAGGUAGCGAAAUUCCUUGUCGGGUAAGUUCCGACCUGCACGAAUGGCGUAAUGAUGGCCAGGCUGUCUCCACCCGAGACUCAGUGAAAUUGAACUCGCUGUGAAGAUGCAGUGUACCCGCGGCAAGACGGAAAGACCCCGUGAACCUUUACUAUAGCUUGACACUGAACAUUGAGCCUUGAUGUGUAGGAUAGGUGGGAGGCUUUGAAGUGUGGACGCCAGUCUGCAUGGAGCCGACCUUGAAAUACCACCCUUUAAUGUUUGAUGUUCUAACGUGGACCCGUAAUCCGGGUUGCGGACAGUGUCUGGUGGGUAGUUUGACUGGGGCGGUCUCCUCCUAAAGAGUAACGGAGGAGCACGAAGGUUGGCUAAUCCUGGUCGGACAUCAGGAGGUUAGUGCAAUGGCAUAAGCCAGCUUGACUGCGAGCGUGACGGCGCGAGCAGGUGCGAAAGCAGGUCAUAGUGAUCCGGUGGUUCUGAAUGGAAGGGCCAUCGCUCAACGGAUAAAAGGUACUCCGGGGAUAACAGGCUGAUACCGCCCAAGAGUUCAUAUCGACGGCGGUGUUUGGCACCUCGAUGUCGGCUCAUCACAUCCUGGGGCUGAAGUAGGUCCCAAGGGUAUGGCUGUUCGCCAUUUAAAGUGGUACGCGAGCUGGGUUUAGAACGUCGUGAGACAGUUCGGUCCCUAUCUGCCGUGGGCGCUGGAGAACUGAGGGGGGCUGCUCCUAGUACGAGAGGACCGGAGUGGACGCAUCACUGGUGUUCGGGUUGUCAUGCCAAUGGCACUGCCCGGUAGCUAAAUGCGGAAGAGAUAAGUGCUGAAAGCAUCUAAGCACGAAACUUGCCCCGAGAUGAGUUCU
rnacentral:rRNA from 1 species